UACGGGGGGGGCAAGCGUUGUUCGGAUUUACUGGGCGUAAAGGGUGCGUAGGCGGUUGGGUAAGUCUGACGUGAAAUCUCCGGGCCUAACCCGGAAACUGCGUUGGAUACUACCUGACUAGAGGAAUGGAGUGGAGACUGGAAUACUUGGUGUAGCAGUGAAAUGCGUAGAUAUCAAGUGGAACACCAGUGGCGAAGGCGAGUCUCUGGACAUUUCCUGACGCUGAGGCACGAAAGCCAGGGGAGCAAACGGG
rnacentral:rRNA from 1 species